AUUGAACGCUGGCGGCAUGCCUUACACAUGCAAGUCGAACGGCAGCACGGGAGCAAUCCUGGUGGCGAGUGGCGAACGGGUGAGUAAUAUAUCGGAACGUGCCCAGUCGUGGGGGAUAACGUAGCGAAAGCUACGCUAAUACCGCAUACGAUCUAUGGAUGAAAGCGGGGGAUCGCAAGACCUCGCGCGAUUGGAGCGGCCGAUAUCAGAGUAGGUAGUUGGUGAGGUAAAGGCUCACCAAGCCGACGAUCUGUAGCUGGUCUGAGAGGAAGACCAGCCACACUGGACUGAGACACGGCCCAGACUCCUACGGGAGGCAGCAGUGGGGAAUUUUGGACAAUGGGCGCAAGCCUGAUCCAGCAAUGCCGCGUGCAGGAUGAAGGCCUUCGGGUUGUAAACUGCUUUUGUACGGAGCGAAAAGGCUUCCACUAAUACUGGGGGCUCAUGACGGUACCGUAAGAAUAAGCACCGGCUAACUACGUGCCAGCAGCCGCAGUAACAC
rnacentral:rRNA from 1 species